rnacentral:rRNA from 1 species
GACGAACGCUGGCGGCGUGCUUAACACAUGCAAGUCGAACGAUGAAGCUCAGCUUGCUGGGUGGAUUAGUGGCGAACGGGUGAGUAACACGUGAGUAACCUGCCCUUAACUCUGGGAUAAGCCUGGGAAACUGGGUCUAAUACCGGAUAGGAGCGUCCACCGCAUGGUGGGUGUUGGAAAGAUUUAUCGGUUUUGGAUGGACUCGUGGCCUAUCAGCUUGUUGGUGAGGUAAUGGCUCACCAAGGCGACGACGGGUAGCCGGCCUGAGAGGGUGACCGGCCACACUGGGACUGAGACACGGCCCAGACUCCUACGGGAGGCAGCAGUGGGGAAUAUUGCACAAUGGGCGCAAGCCUGAUGCAGCGACGCCGCGUGAGGGAUGACGGCCUUCGGGUUGUAAACCUCUUUCAGUAGGGAAGAAGCGAAAGUGACGGUACCUGCAGAAGAAGCACCGGCUAACUACGUG